AAAAGUCUUAUCGACCGAAGGGUUCCUUCCGUCGAUGAGGUCCUCAUCGACGGAAGGGAUCCUUCCGUCGAUGAGGUUGUU
rnacentral:miRNA from 1 species